rnacentral:tRNA from 1 species
AAGGGAGACCUAAUUCAGGUAGGAGACGAAAAAAUAGUAGUCCCAACCAAGAAUCAAUCCCAAAAGGUCGGAGCGAGGCGAAAUUGGCUUUCAAACUAGGUUCUGGGUUCAAACAAGACCUGAAUCAGGAACAAGGGCUAUUAGCUCAGGUGGUUAGAGCGCACCCCUGAUAAGGGUGAGGUCCCUGGUUCGAGUCCAGGAUGGCCCACCUGCACAGGUGGCAAAAACAAAGAAGCGAGGAAUCAGCACCUUAUCUUACUCAUAUAGUAAGAGAGAAUGCUGGCUCUGAGUAAAGAGUCCAGAGGAACCUUGAAAACUGCAUAGAGCUAGGUGAAAAAGCCAAAAAAGAAGACCGCAA